UGACGCUUUUAUGGAAAACAUAUUAUUAUCACCAUUUUAUAGCUGACCAACCUGAGGCUUAAAAACGUCAAGAAGCUUCCCUCUGAAACAGGAAAAUUGUGCUUUGUUUUCAUCACCAGAGCCAUAGCAAGCCACAUAUUCAACUAAGUUCCUCAGGCAUGCCCCAAGGUUAUACCCUCGCUUCUCUGGAUGCAACCAUUAACUCCAAGCAGG